UGGAGGUUGCAGUGAGCCGAGACCGUGCCACUGCACUCCAGCCUGGGUGACAGAGUGAGACUCCAUCUCAAAAAAAGAAAAAAAAGAAAAGAAACUAAUUACACACUGUGAUGGAGGCUGCAAAGAACACCACUAAGAAUUCAAAAUCAGCUGGGUGCGGUGGCUCACACCUGUAAUCCCAGCACUUUGGGAGGCUGAGGCAGGUGGAUCACAAGGUCAGGAGUUCAAGACCAGCCUGGCCAACAUGGUGAAACCCCGUCUCUACCGAAAAUACAACAAAAUUAGCCCGGUGUGGUGGCAGGCAUGUCCCACCAUGCCCAGCUAAUUUUUGUAUUUUUAGUAGAGAUGGGGUUUCUCCAUGUUGGUCAGGCUGGUUUCGAACUCCCAACCUCAGGUGAUCCGCCCACCUCAGCCUUCCAAAGUGCUGGGAUUACAGGCAUGAGCCACUGCGUCUGGCCUUCUAUAAUUUUCUGGUAGUCACGAUGGAAACAAACAAAACACCUUAGAACCAGAGAUCGACCCCCUCAAGCAAUACAUCAAUUCCCUUCACAAGAAACGUCGGGGCUACAUGAGUAUCUGUGUUGAAUGCGGUCUGAAAUGAUCCUAUGGAUUUUCCCGGCUGGUUGCCACUGCUGUACAACAUUCAGUGCCCACAUCCACCUGUGCCAUUAAGCUUUUUUGAGACAUGAGAGAUGCCUCUUCCCUGCUGUAUGACAUGCAUUUGGGAAGUUGGAAAGAAAUGACAAAAUCAGGGAGAAAACAUCCAAGCUUCUUACCUGUAGAUAGAAUCAGCCCUCACUUGGUGCUUAUUACCAGUUAUUCAAGAACAAUAACAACAACAAAAUUAGUAGACAUCCAAGAAGCACAUAUUAGGACCAAAGAUAGCAUCAACUGUAUUUGAAGGAACUGUAGUUUGCGCAUUUUAUGACAUUUUUAUAAAGUACUGUAAUUCUUUCAUUGAGGGGCUAUGUGAUGGAGACAGACUAACUCAUUUUGUUAUUUGCAUUAAAAUUAUUUUGGGUCUCUGUUCAAAUGAGUUUGGAGAAUGCUUGACUUGUUGGUCUGUGUGAAUGUGUAUAUAUAUAUACCUGAAUACAGGAACAUCGGAGACCUAUUCACUCCCACACACUCUGCUAUAGUUUGCGUGCUUUUGUGGACACCCCUCAUGAACAGGCUGGCGCUCUAGGACGCUCUGUGUUCACUGAUGAUGAAGAAACCUAGAACUCCAAGCCUGUUUGUAAACACACUAAACACAGUGGCCUAGAUAGAAACUGUAUCGUAGUUUAAAAUCUGCCUCGCGGGAUGUUACUAAACUCGCUAAUAGUUUAAAGGUUACUUACAAUAGAGCAAGUUGGACAAUUUUGUGGUGUUGGGGAAAUGUUAGGGCAAGGCCUAGAGGUUCAUUUUGAAUCUUGGUUUGUGACUUUAGGGUAGUUAGAAACUUUCUACUUAAUGUACCUUUAAAAUAGUCCAUUUUCUAUGUUUUGUAUAAUCUGAAACUGUACAUGGAAAAUAAAGUUUAAAACCAGA
rnacentral:lncRNA from 10 species